AAUAUUGUUGAAUAUUUUAAGCCAUACACAUGAACGACCAAAUACUCCAAUCGACAAUUUGAGAAGAGAAUAAGAAUAUCUCCAAUGGAGCACAUAACUGGACCUUCUGUCGAAUACACAAAUGCGUAACAUUGAAAUUGUUAUGCUAUUUUCUCUUGCGCUGCUGGCUAAAGAAAAACAACCUAACAUUGAAAUUGCUAAUGAAUUGAUUAUGCUUCAGAGAUACAUCUCUUUCACCAUGUUUACAAACGCGCAAUAACUCUGUGGUAGAAAGUGAAGACAUGCGGCAUACCAACCUUGUUUUUUCUGCACUUUUAGGCAAGCAUCAAACCCAUCAGAAUUGAGAACAGAUUUGUAGGUUCGGCAGUAGCAUCUAAUUUUAAGUAUUUGUAGGUUUCUCACAUAUAAGCUAACACUUGUGGCAUCGGGCAUCUACUGCUUGUAAUCCCAGACGACACUGAAGGAAAUUACUUAAGAAGAGGCAUUGACUGCUUGUAAUCCCAGACAGCACUGAAACUCUGGAAGAAAUUACCUAGAAGAGACUAUGUACUUGAAUUCUUUCCUAUUAAGAAGAUAGGAAAAUCAACUCCAUUCUUUUGGCAAAGACAAAUUACCCUUUGUACUCUAAUAUAUUUUUGCUGCGUCUGCAAACAACAAAUUACGGAGUAUCAAUUAAUGCACAGUGCACAGCUUUUGUAUUCUUUUUGUGGUUAACAUCUUAUUAAUUGUAUCACACAUAAACCUUUCUUAGCAUCACCACAUCAGUACCAGGACUUAUGAACUAAAAAAGAACAUGGGUACUACUAAUGGCUUUAGAUGUUAGGCCACAGUUACCUGCAGAAGAUCUGGUGUUGGCCCUUUAGAUGCAUUUAGCUGUGAACUAAAUCAUAUGCACAUUUGACAUAGGAUAAUUUAGAUGCGAGAGUACAAAGAUAAUGAAGGACGGUGGAAGAAACAACUGCCCAGAAUCUAUUUCAUCUCAAAGAAGUUGUUUGGAAGGAAAUGCCCAGAUUUGGUGGUUUUCAACAUUGCAUACACCUGAAAUUUUAAACUGGAACUAAAUUUCUGAACAUUUAAAUACAUAUAUAGUUUAUUAAAUAGCAUUUCAAAUUAUGCAGGCCUAGUAGUCUAAUCUCUUGAAAGCCUGAAAAUCAAAUAACCAAUAGAGAGUAGUUUUUUAUCUCUUUUUUGAUUAUCUGGUUUUGACUGACCAUCAUAGGAAAACAAUUGAAAUAUAUGCUUACAACGAAUAUAACGGUCCCAGACAUUGUUUAAGCAAUACUAACUAUUCACUAUGCAUAUACAGUAGCUAGUACCAGAUUAGUUGGAGUAAUUGAUAUAUGGAAAAUAAUGUCAUUGAGAAAGCUUUCAAUUAACAUUUCUAAGAUGAAAGUGUUGGGUCUUGAGACAUGGUCAACCACUUUCAAGUCUUUUAACUCUGCAAGGCUGUAAUUUGUUUCUAGCUUAAUAAUGUCUUCCAUCUUUGGUUCUUGAUUUUCUAAGCACAUUUGAACAUCAUGAAAAUUUGAAGGUGAACAUAACAAUAAAAGAUGCAGAUUGGAAGUUCUAACCUGAAACAUGGCUCCAUUAUGUGUAUCUAUACUAUUGUAAUAGUAUCAACCAACCACUUAGGAAAAGGGGAAAAAACACCAAGUUAAACGAUGUCGACAAAAUAAAAUAGUUAAAUGUGAAAGCCUAACAGAAGAUAGUAGUAUUAUGGAUUACUUUCAUAAGCAUAUGCCACACUACAUAAUAUUAAAAGAUGUGGAUUGGAAGCUGUAACCUGAAGCAUGGCUACAUUAUAUUUAUUUUGCAACAUUGAAUAUGUUGUGGACAUAACCAGAAGCAAACUGGCAUAACUGGAGACCUGCAACAUGGAAAAUUUAUAUGCUUAUAUGCAUAGAGUAUUUUCAGUGCUGCUAGGACAUUCUAGUGGCCUAAACUCUUGUGUCAAGGCAGAGGAGAAAAUUAGAUGCUUGCACUCUUCAUCAUUUACACAUUAAAUUAUAAAAAUAACAGGCACGCUAAAAGUUAUUUUUUUUGGCAGAAUGUAAGUUUUAGGAUAGUACUAAAUAACUACAUUUCUGAAUGUUUUGUUUUAUGGAUAUAUGGCAGCAGAUUGAGUUGUGUGAAACACCACCAAGCAAUGAAAAAAUAACCAUACGAUUCAUUUCCUCCAUGAUCCUACCAACUUUCUUUGCUGAACUGGACCAACACAACAAACCACAUAAAUCCGGUGAAGUAGUAAUAAUUUUGUUGCAACAAAUUAGACACCAGUAAAAGCUUUGCACACUGUCUAUCAGCGUGUUAUGCUCCCAGUAUUAGAGCUAGGGGGUUUUGAUGUCAAUAAUGGGCUAUUGGCAGGUAUUUUAGCAAAGUUAAUAAAAAGAAUAUCCUUCCAUUGCAUAUCCUGUUUGCAGAAUGCUCUCAUAUUACCUUAUACUUAUAGCCUUGUAGUACCUAUCAUGGUUUUCUUUUUUCUUCCUGAUGUUAUUCUAUCAAGGGGUGCCAUACAAUGCAGCAACAAAACCAAUAACCAUCGAACUUCUGACAGCUAAAUUCAUAUGAAAUAAUCUGAACUCAAGAAAAACUCACCAUAAUCUAAAUAUCGCAGCCCUGAUUAAGAGAGGAGAAAGCUCGAUAACUUGUUCAGUAUGACGGUAGAUGCGCAGAAUGAAAGUCGUCCUCUCUGUAAUCUGCGACUUACACCUCAUCCUAGCCCAUCAAUUUCUCCACAGAACCUAAGGCAAGAUGGGGGAUCAUGUAAAAACACCAGCAAACGCAAUGCAAAUGCUUAAUGGCAAGUCAAAACCAUUGCCUUACCAUGUGGAUUUUGUGCUAAAUGUAUGCAGAAGGGUAUCAAAACGAUUCACCGGCGAGGAGACCAAUGGCCGAGACCAUCGAUUCCGAUGACCCCCGAACCGGAUCUGUAGCUCACCGAGGAUAGGGAGAGGAAGAGGGAGGCGGUGGGUGGCCUGGAGAUGAGAGGAGAGAAGAGGGGAGAAGGUGGCCUGGUGUGCCGAGCGAGGGGAGCGGCACGGCGGCAGGCGAGCAGCCGCGGCGGCGGCGGCGGCGGCGGCAGGCGAGCGGCAGGCGAGCGGCGGCGGGCAAGCGGCGGCGGGCGAGCGGCGG
rnacentral:lncRNA from 1 species